UGGGACUAUAGGCACGUGCCCCCACGCCCUGCUAAUUUUUGUAUUUUUAGUAGAGACGGGGUUUCACCAUGUUGGCCAGGAUGGUCUCCAUCUCUUGACCUCGUGAUCCACCCACUUCAGCCUCCCAAAAUACUGGGAUUACAGGCAUGAGCCACUGAGCCUGGUCCCCGAAGGGUAAAUUUUAUUAACCAAACACUGAUUCAUUUUUAUUUACUGUGUAGUAACUUGUGGGGAAUGUUUAUUAUGUUAUAAACUAUAUCCUUUAUUAUUUUAAAGAACCCUUCCUUGUCCAACAUAAUGAUUUUUCACUUUUCUGGUUUACACUUGUUUGUUGUAUCAUUGACCACCCCUCGAUUUUCAGUUCUUUAGGUUAUUUUGUUUUAAAUGUCUCCCUCAGGUUUUGAUUUUUGGUACAGCCUGCUGAUAUUUAAGGGAAUAAAAGAUUUUAAAAGCCCUCCCUACCCUGUUAUGAACGACAAGGAGGUCAGCCCACAUAUGUGAUCCCCCACUUUCUUUCCACAUCCCAAUUCAUGAGUUUCGUGAAUUACAUUAUUAUGUAUUAUCAAGAUCUGGUUGCUGGAAAGUCCAGGAUCAAGGUGCCAGCAGAUGUGGUGUCUGGUGAAGGUCCACUUCCUGCUUUAUAGACAGCACCUUCUUGCUGUUUCUUCACACGGGAGAGGAAGAAAGAAAGCUCUCUGGGGCCUCUUUGAUAAGGGCACUAAUCCUAUUUAUGAGGGCUCUGCCAUCAUGACCUAUUCACCUCCCAAAGACCCCACUUCCAAAUACC
rnacentral:lncRNA from 1 species